rnacentral:snRNA from 1 species
AUACCUACCUGGACGGGGUCAAUGGGCGAUCAUGAAGGCCGUGGCCUAGGUUGGUGACCUCCAUUGCACAUUGGAGGGGCGCCCGCCUAAGGUCGGCCCAACUGGCCGAGCCUAUGUCAUAAUUUGUGGCAGUGGGGGCCUGCAUUCCUGCGGCCCCUAC